AGUGAAAAAUUUGUCCACACACUUAAAGAUGUGGGAGCUAAAGCCAACUUUGUCAUGUACGAUGGAAAAACUCACACAGAUCUGUUUCUUCAGGAUCCUCUUAGAGGUGGUAGGGAUGAACUUCUGGAGGAUAUAAUUAAAGCCAUUUAUGCUGGUGAUGAAGUCGAAUGUGCCAAUCUUGCUCUAACACCAUUGCCACGCCGCCUUGUUCCGGAAUUCAUGUUGAAGCUGGCUCAUAAAAUAAGUCCCUUCUAGGAAUUUGUUUUCCAAUUUUAUAUGGUAAUCCCUAAACAACUAGUCACUGUCAUUACCUUGAAUUCUAUUUUGAUAUAAAAAAUAUAAUGGCAAAUUAGGAAAUAGUC